AGCUAAACCAUAGGACAAUAUUACAAAAAAUUAUGGGGUGAGUAGUGAUACAAGUAAUAAAAUUGUUGUUCAUGAGGUAAAUAGAAAUGUUGUUGUGCAGGAGUCAAAAGAAAAUACAGAGAAGUAUAGCUCAACGCCAAGAGACGAAUUAAAUAACGAGAUAUCUGCGGCUAAUGUGAAGAAUUUUUUAGAAGAGCUUUUCAUGAGGAUGUCUCAAUAUUCAGAUAAAGACAUUUUUAUCAAUGAAAAUUGCAACAAGGGAAGGAAUGACAAGAAGGAAGAAAAGGUAUGAAUGGAUGGUCUUUGAGGAAAAACUUGAGAAAUUUUGCGAGACUAAGAUGUGCAGCGAGCCUUUUUUUUCUUCAUUUAUCUGCUCCUUGCAAAAUUAAUGAUAACAAUAAUGAAAAUGAAAAGUGAAUACAAAUAAACAUAUAGUCAUGAGAACGUGAUCCUCCUUAAUUCAAU
rnacentral:lncRNA from 1 species